UCAACAUACUUUGUAUCAUUCGACACUUGCUACAAUGUGCCUUGGAACCUUGCCCUUAUUCUCACCAACUAGGUGAUGAAGGAACUUACCUUCGUGCCACCAACCAGGUGAUAAAAUGUACAACCCGUACUCUAAUAUUAUUUGGCAACUUGCCACUCUUAUCACCAACCAGGUGAAGAAUGAACUCACCUUUAUGCCACCAACCAGGUGAAGAAAUGUACAACCCGUACUCUAAUAUUAUUUGGCAACUUGCCACUCUUAUCACCAGCUAGGUGAAGAAGAAACUCAUCUUCGUGCCACCAACCACGUGAUGAAAUGUGAUGAAGGAACUCACCUUCAUACCACCAACCAUGUGAUGAAAGCAACUCACCAUUCAUUCCACCAACUAGAAGACGAGUGGUACAACUUGUACAUGUGAACUCCUAGCAUUCACAAAUAAUCAAAAACCCUCAAGCUUUACAACUCAACUAAGGGAGCACUUAUGCCCAACAAGAGUUAUAGUCACCAACAAAGUCUUAUUGCAAGCCAACAACAGCUUCAGUGCAUGGUAUACGAAAAUCAAGCUAUUUAGCCCUCUUGCAUCUGCUUCAGACAUUUUUCCUCUGUAACAAUGCAAACACUACAACUCGUAGAAAGCUUCACACAUUCUUCAUCAAGAUUGUUCGAAGCAAAUUCAAUUUAUAUGGUUCAUCUAAACCUUCGACUACUCCAAGGUGUGGCUUGUAUAUGUUGUCUCUUCUACAUUUUCAAAUUUCCAGUUUUCCCAUAAAAAAAAGUCAAAAAAGGGAAAUUGGGAAAUUGGGAAAGUCAACAAAGCUUCAUCAAUGGAGGACAACCACAAUUCUUAAAAGCUUCACACACUCUUGAUCAAGAUAGUGUGAAGCAAAACCAAUUUAUGGUGGAAAUCAAAAGCUUCAUCAAUGGAGGACAACUACGAAUUCUCAAAAGCUUCACACACUCUUGAUCAAGAUAUUGUGAAGCAAAACCAAUUUAUGAUGCCAACAAAGCUUCAUCAAUGGAGCGUAACUACAAAUCUCAAAAGUUUCACACACUCUUGAUCAAGAUAGUGUGAAGCAAAACCAAUUUAUAAUGCCAACAAAGCUUCAUCAAUGGAGGGCAGCUACAAAUCUCAAAAGCUUCACACACUCUUGAUCAAGAUAGUGUGAAGCAAAAUCAAUUUAUUGUGUCAAGAAAGCUUCAUCAAUGGAGGGCAACUACAAUCCUCAAAAGCUUCACACACUCUUGAUCAAGAUAGUGUAAAGCAAAAUCAAUUUAGGGUGCCAACAAAAGCUUCACCUACAAAGUUUCAACACCAAAGCUUCACCUACAAAGCUUCAACACCAAGGUUUCACCUACACCAAAGCUUCACCUACAAAGCUUCAACACAAAAGCUUCACCUACAAAACUUCAACACCAAAGCUUCACCUACAAAGACAAAGCUUCACCUACAAAACUUCAACACCAAAACUUCACCUAUAAAGCUUCAACACAAAAGCCUCACCUACAAAGCUUCAACACAAAAGCUUCACCUACAAAAGCUUCACCUACAAAAGCCUCACCUACAAAAACUUCAACACAAAAGCUUCACCUACAAAAGCCUCAAAGCUUCACCUACAAAGUUUCAACACAAAAGCUUCACCUACAAAGCUUCACCAACAAAAGCUUCAACAAAUGGAGGGCAACUACAAAUGCCAAAAGCUUCACACACUCUUGAUCAAGAUAGUGUGAAGCAAAAUCAAUUCAUGGUACCCAACAAUGCUUCAACCUCAAAACUUCAACACAAAAGCUUCACCUACAAAAGUUUCACCUACAAAGCUUCAACAUCAAAGCUUCACCUAUUAAAAAAAUAUAUUUUCGAAAAUUUGAAAAAUCGAAAAAAA
rnacentral:lncRNA from 1 species